rnacentral:rRNA from 1 species
UACGGAGGAUGCGAGCGUUAUCCGGAUUUAUUGGGUUUAAAGGGUGCGUAGGCGGCCGAGUAAGUCAGCGGUGAAAUUUUGCAGCUUAACUGUAACAGUGCCGUUGAUACUGCAUGGAUAGGAUUUGGUUGCUGUGGGUGGAAUGUGUGGUGUAGCGGUGAAAUGCUUAGAUAUCACACAGAAUAUCAAUUGCGAAGGCAGCUCACAAAGCCAAGAUUGACGCUGAGGCACGAAAGUGUGGGGAGUCAAACA